rnacentral:rRNA from 1 species
AGCAGUAGCCGCGGUAAUACGUAGGGGGCAAGCGUUGUCCGGAAUUAUUGGGCGUAAAGCGCGCGCAGGCGGUCAUUUAAGUCUGGUGUUUAAUCCCGGGGCUCAACCCCGGAUCGCACUGGAAACUGGGUGACUUGAGUGCAGAAGAGGAGAGUGGAAUUCCACGUGUAGCGGUGAAAUGCGUAGAUAUGUGGAGGAACACCAGUGGCGAAGGCGACUCUCUGGGCUGUAACUGACGCUGAGGCGCGAAAGCGUGGGGAGCAAACAGGAUUAGAUACCCCAGUAGUCCCUGUCUCUUAUACA